AGGCAGCAGUGGGGAAUAUUGCACAAUGGGGGAAAGCCUGAUGCAGCGACGCCGCGUGAGGGAUGACGGCCUUCGGGUUGUAAACCUCUUUCAGUAGGGAAGAAGCGAAAGUGACGGUACCUGCAGAAGAAGCGCCGGCUAACUACGUGCCAGCAGCCGCGGUAAUACGUAGGGCGCAAGCGUUAUCCGGAAUUAUUGGGCGUAAAGAGCUCGUAGGCGGUUUGUCGCGUCUGCUGUGAAAGGCCAGGGCUCAACCCUGGUUCUGCAGUGGGUACGGGCAGACUUGAGUGAUGUAGGGGAGACUGGAAUUCCUGGUGUAGCGGUGAAAUGCGCAGAUAUCAGGAGGAACACCGAUGGCGAAGGCAGGUCUCUGGGCAUUAACUGACGCUGAGGAGCGAAAGCAUGGGGAGCGAACAGGAUUAGAUACCCUGGUAGUCCAUGCCGUAAACGUUGGGCACUAGGUGUGGGGGACAUUCCACGUUUUCCGCGCCGUAGCUAACGCAUUAAGUGCCCCGCCUGGGGAGUACGGCCGCAAGGCUAAAACUCAAAGGAAUUGACGGGGGCCCGCACAAGCGGCGGAGCAUGCGGAUUAAUUCGAUGCAACGCGAAGAACCUUACCAAGGCUUGACAUGGACUGGAUCGCAUCAGAGAUGGUGUUUCCCUUCGGGGCUGGUUCACAGGUGGUGCAUGGUUGUCGUCAGCUC
rnacentral:rRNA from 1 species